UACGUAGGGUGCGAGCGUUAAUCGGAAUUACUGGGCGUAAAGCGUGCGCAGGCGGUCUGUUAAGACCGAUGUGAAAUCCCCGGGCUUAACCUGGGAACUGCAUUGGUGACUGGCAGGCUUUGAGUGUGGCAGAGGGGGGUAGAAUUCCACGUGUAGCAGUGAAAUGCGUAGAGAUGUGGAGGAAUACCGAUGGCGAAGGCAGCCCCCUGGGCCAACACUGACGUUCAUGCACGAAAGCGUGGGGAGCAAACAGG
rnacentral:rRNA from 1 species